rnacentral:sRNA from 1 species
CACACGUGAGGCAUGGGAUUGUCCGGGAGAAAUCCGGAUCGUUCCGCCGGUGGGCGCAUCAUGAAUGCGUUCGACGCCUUGCGGAGGUUCAACCGGAAAAGGAGACAA